rnacentral:rRNA from 1 species
GACGAACGCUGGCGGCGUGCUUAACACAUGCAAGUCGAACGGAAAGGCCCUGCUUUUGUGUGGUGCUCGGGUGGCUAACGGGUGAGUAACACGUGAGUAACCUCGCCUUAACAUUGGGAUAACUUCAGGAAACUGGGGUUAAUACCGGAUAGGUACUCCUGCUGCAUGGUUUGUGUUGGAAAGUUUCGUCGGUUGGGGAUGGAUGCGCGGCUUAUCAGCUUGUUGGUGGGGUAGUGGCUUACCAAGUAUUUGACGGGUAGCCGGCCUGAGAGGGUGACCGGCCACAUGGGGGCGGAGAUACGGCGCAGACGCCUACGGGAGGCAGCAGUGGGGAAUAUUGCACAAGGGGCGGAAGCAGGAUGCAGCAACGCUGCGUGAGGGAUGAAGGCCUUCGGGUGGUAAACCGCUUUCGCAUGUGACGAAGCGUGAGUGAAGGUAAUGGGUAAAGAAGCACCGGCUAACUACGU